rnacentral:rRNA from 1 species
UACAGAGGGGGCAAGCGUUAUUCGGAAUUAUUGGGCGUAAAGGGCGCGUAGGCGGCCUGGCAAGUGGAAGGUGAAAUCCCUCGGCUUAACCGAGGAACUGCCCUCCAAACUGCUUGGCUUGAGUCCGGGAGAGGUGAGUGGAAUUCCCAGUGUAGCGGUGAAAUGCGUAGAUAUUGGGAGGAACACCAGUGGCGAAGGCGGCUCACUGGACCGGAACUGACGCUGAGGCGCGAAAGCAUGGGUAGCGAACAGG